CCCUUAGAUGUUCUGGGCCGCACGCGCGCUACACUGACUGGUGCAACAAGUGUCGCUCCUUGGCCGAUAGGCCUGGGCAAUCUUUGAACGCCAGUCGUGAUGGGGAUAGAUUCUUGCAAUUUUUGAUCUUCAACGAGGAAUUCCUAGUAAACGCGAGUCAUCAACUCGCAUUGAUUACGUCCCUGCCCUUUGUACACACCGCCCGUCGCACCUACCGAUUGAAUGGUCCGGUGAAGCCUCGGGAUUGUGGCUGGUCUCCUUUAUUGGGGGUUGGUCGCGAGAACUUGUCUAAACCUUAUCAUUUAGAGGAAGGUGAAGUCGUAACA
rnacentral:rRNA from 1 species